rnacentral:ncRNA from 1 species
CCCAUUCACAACGGAUCGUCGGGCACGUACCUGCCCGUGAAGGGAAACA